CAGUCGCCGCGGUAAUACGGAGUGUGCAAGCGUUAAUCGGAAUUACUGGGCGUAAAGCGCACGCAGGCGGUCUGUCAAGUCGGAUGUGAAAUCCCCGGGCUCAACCUGGGAACUGCAUUCGAAACUGGCAGGCUAGAGUCUUGUAGAGGGGGGUAGAAUUCCAGGUGUAGCGGUGAAAUGCGUAGAGAUCUGGAGGAAUACCGGUGGCGAAGGCGGCCCCCUGGACAAAGACUGACGCUCAGGUGCGAAAGCGUGGGGAGCAAACAGGAUUAGAUACCCCCGUAGUCCCUGUAUCUUAUAU
rnacentral:rRNA from 1 species